UAGGGAAUAUUGGACAAUGGGUGCAAGCCUGAUCCAGCCAUGCCGCGUGAGUGAAGAAGGCCUUCGGGUUGUAAAGCUCUUUUACCAGGGACGAUAAUGACGGUACCUGGAGAAUAAGCCCCGGCAAACUUCGUGCCAGCAGCCGCGGUAAUACGAAGGGGGCUAGCGUUGUUCGGAAUUACUGGGCGUAAAGCGCACGUAGGCGGAUUGUUAAGUCAGAGGUGAAAUCCCGGAGCUCAACUUCGGAACUGCCUUUGAUACUGGCAAUCUAGAGUCCGGAAGAGGUUAGUGGAAUUCCCAGUGUAGAGGUGAAAUUCGUAGAUAUUGGGAAGAACACCAGUGGCGAAGGCGGCUAACUGGUCCGGUACUGACGCUGAGGUGCGAAAGCGUGGGGAGCAAACAGGAUUAGAUACCCGAGUAGUCCCUGAGCGGGCUGGCAAGGCGCAU
rnacentral:rRNA from 1 species